UUGCAAGAUUUGAUGACUUCAUCUUGCGUACUUUGAGGAUUUGGAGACUUCAGCUUGAUACUUGGAGGAUUUGAAAACUUCAAUU
rnacentral:pre_miRNA from 1 species